UACAGAGGUCUCAAGCGUUGUUCGGAUUCAUCGGGCGUAAAGGGUGCGUAGGCGGCGCGGUAAGUCGGGUGUGAAAUCUCGGGGCUUAACUCCGAAACUGCAUUCGAUACUGCCGUGCUUGAGGACUGGAGAGGAGACUGGAAUUUACGGUGUAGCGGUGAAAUGCGUAGAUAUCGUAAGGAAGACCAGUGGCGAAGGCGGGUCUCUGGACAGUUCCUGACGCUGAGGCACGAAGGCCAGGGGAGCAAACGGG
rnacentral:rRNA from 1 species